AACGAACGCUGGCGGCAGGCCUAACACAUGCAAGUCGAGCGAAGCCUUCGGGCUUAGCGGCGGACGGGUGAGUAACGCGUGGGAACGUGCCCUUUGGUACGGAAUAGCCCCGGGAAACUGGGAGUAAUACCGUACGUGGUCGAGAGACGAAAGAUUUAUCGCCAAAGGAUCGGCCUGCGUUGGAUUAGGUAGUUGGUGGGGUAAUGGCCUACCAAGCCGACGAUCCAUAGCUGGUUUGAGAGGAUGAUCAGCCACACUGGGACUGAGACACGGCCCAGACUCCUACGGGAGGCAGCAGUGGGGAAUCUUAGACAAUGGGGGAAACCCUGAUCUAGCCAUGCCGCGUGAUCGAUGAAGGCCUUAGGGUUGUAAAGAUCUUUCAGUGGGGAAGAUAAUGACUGUACCCACAGAAGAAGCCCCGGCUAACUCCGUGCCAGCCGCCGCUGUAAUAC
rnacentral:rRNA from 1 species